rnacentral:lncRNA from 13 species
UGCCAAGUGAUGUCAGAAACCAGGGUUAGGCCUUGAAGGCUAGCAUGCAAGUGCUGUUGGCUAGCUCGCAAGGACAGCAACCUGCCUCCACCAACAGAAAGCAGCCCCGCACAUGCGUUCACGCACGGUGUCUUGUUGUGUGCCUAAGAAUGGUGUGCCGAUUUUCUGAAUUUGCAAGUGUAUCAUCAGGACAGGCGGAAACAUGUACGUUUUGUUUUAAUUUUUGCAUACAAUAUUUCUUUUCUUCUGACUACAAAUGAUUUCUUCACUACAUCAUGUGACCCGGCUGGUCUAUGGGAUUAGGAUAUUCUGUUUAUAGACAGCUGAAGGGAAAGAUCGGGAUGAUGACACAGGUGAGAUAGAGAUUUCUCCCAAAAGAGAACCAGAGCCAACAGCACAUUUUGGCCAAACACAAGCCAGGAAUGCCAGUGACUGGCAUCACUAAUCAUUUACACAAUGAUUAUAGAACUCAAGUCACAGAAGUCUCAGACAGUGACAAUUUCCGAGCAGUGCCCAAGGACAGAUGAUCAUAUCAUGCUUUAUCAUUGUGAUAAAAUUCUGUCCUCAUGCUGAUGAGACUCUUGGGGACAUUCCCUCCCA